GGGUAUUAGUGGUCAAUUCUUGUGGUUUUCAAUCUGAUGGCUCUUUCGAAGCAGCAAGUUUUUAGAUUUCUUGGGUUUGAUUUUUCCUUUCUAUUUGUAGUUUAUUUACUCUCUUUCUCUCUCUCUCUACACACACGCACGCAUACCCCUUUUGGUUCAUUUCGUUUUCUGUGAUGUGGUUUUCAUUAUAAACGCAUAUGCGCAAGAUUACAUUGAUUCAUUGAUUUUCAAAUUUUUUUUAAACAAGGAUUUUGAUGUUUGUGGGCGUCUUUGGGAUGUAGGAAAAUACUUUGUGGGCAAUUGUUAGUUGUUGAUUUUAUGGUGGUUUUGACGUGUUUGUUGAAUUGUGAAAUAGAUGAAUGUUUGGAAAAAUGAGAGU
rnacentral:misc_RNA from 1 species